AGUAGCAGCCACACUGCAGUGCAAGUGCCCAAUAGCGUCUGCCCCUGGAAGCUGAACAGAGCAGUGCCUGGUUAGUACUUGGAUGGGAGACUAGCUUGGAAGACCAGGGGCCGCUAUCC
rnacentral:rRNA from 12 species